rnacentral:lncRNA from 1 species
GUUUGCAGUUUAUCGACCGACCCUUGAAAAUCCUCCCGACUGUGAAAAUUUUAUUGCUUUAAAUUUGAAGAAAUUUUUUUUAAUACUUCUAUUGACGCGAUCCGGAACUUUGGGUCCUUUCCGGAAAUGAUUUAAAGUCUGGGUCAAUUACGCAUUUCAAGUUCAGUUUUUCUUAGCUUCCUGUCAAGCGUUCAUGUGACCAUUUAAUGAUAAAGCACAUGGAAAUUGUUUACAGGUAUCCAUGAAGUCACGGAGGGGUACUUUACGCUGUCGUCUCGUGUCAAUUUUAAGACAAAUAACAAACAAAAAAGUUUAUUAGUAAACUGUUUAUACAGAUUCAGGCACAUGUAAUGAUGUGUGAUGAUAUCAUUGACAAUGAUGCAGCGGAUAUUCAUAACUGACACGAUAACCAUUCUGUCUUAAACAAAUCGGGUACAGAAUCUGUGGAGCCUGACUUUAUGGAACCAAUUUCAGUGGUUAAAUAAUUCGACAGCAGCUUGAAGUAUGGCAUAUUUUCUACAAAUCGUUGUGAAGACGACAAAGAUGAAACCACUCCUCCGUGAUUUAAAUCUUCAUGGAUAUCUGUAAACACGCC